rnacentral:rRNA from 1 species
UACGUAGGGGGCUAGCGUUGUCCGGAAUCAUUGGGCGUAAAGAGCGCGUAGGCGGCCAGAUAAGUCCGGUGUGAAAGUCACAGGCUCAACCUGUGAAUGCCGCUGGAAACUGUCUGGCUAGAGUCCGGAAGGGGCGAGUGGAAUUCCUGGUGUAGCGGUGAAAUGCGCAGAUAUCGGGAGGAACACCAAUGGCGAAGGCAGCUCGCUGGGACGGUACUGACGCUGAGACGCGAAAGCGUGGGGAGCAAACAGG